CCUACGGGUGACUGCAGUGGGGAAUAUUGCACAAUGGGGGAAACCCUGAUGCAGCGACGCCGCGUGAGUGAAGAAGUAUUUCGGUAUGUAAAGCUCUAUCUGUAGGGAAGAAGCAAGACGGUACCUGACUAAGAAGCCCCGGCUAACUACGUGCCAGCAGCCGAGGUAAUACGGAGGAGGCAAGCGUUAUCCGGAUUUACUGGGUGUAAAGGGAGCGUAGGCGGUAUGGCAAGUCGGAAGUGAAAGCCCAGGGCUUAACCCUGGGACUGCUGUGGAAACUGUUAGACUAGAGUGCUGGAGAGGUAAGUGGAAUUCGUGGUGUAGCGGUGAAAUGCGUAGAUAUCAGGAGGAACACCAAUUGCGAAGGCGGCUUACUGGACAGUAACUGACGCUGAGGCUCGAAAGCGUGGGGAGCAAACAGGAUUAGAUACCCGAGUAGUC
rnacentral:rRNA from 1 species